rnacentral:lncRNA from 1 species
AGCAGGCCUCUUGUGACCCUGGUUAAUGUAGACCUCUUGUGUCCUUGGUUACCAUGGAACUCCUAGGAGAAUUACAGGCUGUAGUUUUUGGGUUGGUAUCUGGCACUGGUCUAACCUGGAUGGAGAAGUAAACUGUAAAGGAGCUGUAACAUCUGGCUGUGGGUCUCUGCAUUUGUUUUCAUCUGGAGGUGCAGAAAGCCUCUUGGAUGUCUGGUGACUGGAUAAGGCACUGAUCUAUGAUUAUAGCAGAA